UAGUGUCGUCUGUGGUGGUGGUGUCAUGGUGGUGUCAGUUUUAAAUUUUUUAUUAUAUUUGAUUAAAAUCCAAUAUUAGCUUUACAUAUGCCAUAUUUCUCUGAUUCUAUGUCAAAAUGUAGUUUGCGAAAUUUUGUAUAGCACAAUACUUGAAGUUUAAUUGCAGAAAUCCGACUAGGAGGUUUAAAGAUGUUAACAGUGAUGAUAAAAUGAAGGAAAUAGUUGCACAUGUGCUGUACAUAAUAAAAGUUGUAAGCAGAGCGAUAACAUAAUUCACACAUUGACAUGCAUUCAGUCAAGACCAACAAAUGCUUCAGUAAGAAAUAGGACAGCAGUAUUAGAGGUAGGCUUCCCUUCAAUUUUUAAUGAGCAAAUGUUGGUCAUGCUUCGCACACCAAUCCGACCAUGUGGUCCGCUUAAAAGAUCUUUUGGCCAAAAUAAUUGAAGCCGCUGGAAAUAUUUUUGCUCCUUGAAGGAGCUUGAACAAUUCACAGAUGAGAUCCAAAUCCUGUUGCAAUGGCUUAACGAUAUAUAUUGACGGUACUCUGUCCAUGUAAAAGCUGAUGAUUGGUCAUCAGCUUUUUGUUGUUGUUUUUUUUGUUUUUCUUUUUUGUUUUUCUUUUUUUUUCAAAGGGAGGCGAUUCUCAGCCUGGACAAGAAGCGGACCCCCUCAAAGUACUAUACAGCGAGAAGCAGGACGUGAUUUUUAUUAUGAACCCUUUCAUUAGUGAUCACCAAGAGCAUGUUCUAUCAAGAGCUGCCAAACGAAAAAGGUCAUUGGACCACAGCAUUUGCGGUAACAGGAGGCUGAAAAUGGUUUCGUCUACAUUAUAUUAUACCCACCUUGCCUAAAUUGGAUUGGAUUGUAAGUUGGUUUCGUUAAAAAUGCUGUACUGACUUCCACCUCAAGAAGCAAAUUCACGUGAGUCAGAACAUGAGUUUUGCCACCAUCAUUAAUCAAGAGCUGGGAUGCAAGUUUGGAUGGGAUGCACCACCCGGUGGUGGUGAUAUGUUGGUCUACUUCACAAAUUUAUUUCAUUGUUAUCAGAACUAUUUAUUUUUACGUAUUUUUAAGAAAUUCGAAAUUGUAGACUGAAUGUGUUUGAUUUUUGUAUCUUUCACAGGUUGUGAGAAUAACAUCAUGCAACAAAAGCUCCCGUAAGAAUCCCAGCAUGAGGACUUGAGGAGUCUUCAUUAAGGUGUGGAAGCUGGGCUUCUAUGAUCCACGACGACCGAGUACCGUAGCCCAUCACACACAUAACAAGAAAAGAAUGACAAACGACGACGAUGCCCGCAGUGCCGCAAAAUUAUGAAAAGAGAAACAAAGCACUUGUUAGUUAUGCCGAAUUUGAAUUGAUACAAAUUAUUAGUUAGGGAAAAGGGAAACUGCUAUCUAACUACUCCCAAUACUUUUAUCAAAAAUUAAUUUUUAUUUUUUACAGAGUCUUAAUUAAUUGGAAUUAAUUCUUGUUCCUGUUAAACCUAAACUACGUAAUCUCAUUAGCGUAAACGCCUGGCGACCACCACGCCGCCUUUUGGGUGUCCACAAUAUGUGUAUACGUCUGUCACGCUAUUAAGGAAAUCAUAGAAAAACAGAAGGAAUCAAAAUGGACAUACCUGAAGUCAGAUGAAUAGGCGUCGUCCUCGUGGUUUGCGUCGUCUUUUUCUCUCCCAAGUUGUUUUGGGAGAGUCGUGCCUUUCGGUUCGGGAAUGUAGAAUAGAAUGGCUCAUAACUUUAUUGCUUUUACUACUACAAUAUGUAUUUACCUAACAAUUAAAACAAUACUUUCCGCUCUC